ensembl:snoRNA
AUCCUUUUGUAGUUCAUAAGCGUGAUGAUUGGCUGUUCAUGCUGUUGUGUGAGAUGUGCCUCCCUCAAACUGUGUUAUGACAUCGGCACAUUACCUGGCUGACA